rnacentral:rRNA from 1 species
AAAUUGAAGAGUUUGAUCAUGGCUCAGAUUGAACGCUGGCGGCAGGCCUAACACAUGCAAGUCGAACGGUAACAGGAAGAAGCUUGCUUCUUUGCUGACGAGUGGCGGACGGGUGAGUAAUGUCUGGGAAACUGCCCGAUGGAGGGGGAUAACUACUGGAAACGGUAGCUAAUACCGCAUAACGUCGCAAGACCAAAGAGGGGGACCUUCGGGCCUCUUGCCAUCGGAUGUGCCCAGAUGGGAUUAGCUUGUUGGUGAGGUAACGGCUCACCAAGGCGACGAUCCCUAGCUGGUCUGAGAGGAUGACCAGCCACACUGGAACUGAGACACGGUCCAGACUCCUACGGGAGGCAGCAGUGGGGAAUAUUGCACAAUGGGCGCAAGCCUGAUGCAGCCAUGCCGCGUGUAUGAAGAAGGCCUUCGGGUUGUAAAGUACUUUCAGCGGGGAGGAAGGGAGUAAAGUUAAUACCUUUGCUCAUUGACGUUACCCGCAGAAGAAGCACCGGCUAACUCCGUGCCAGCAGCCGCGGUAAUACGGAGGGUGCAAGCGUUAAUCGGAAUUACUGGGCGUAAAGCGCACGCAGGCGGUUGAUUAAGUCAGAUGUGAAAUCCCCGGGCUCAACCUGGGAACUGCAUCUGAUACUGGUCAGCUUGAGUCUCGUAGAGGGGGGUAGAAUUCCAGGUGUAGCGGUGAAAUGCGUAGAGAUCUGGAGGAAUACCGGUGGCGAAGGCGGCCCCCUGGACGAAGACUGACGCUCAGGUGCGAAAGCGUGGGGAGCAAACAGGAUUAGAUACCCUGGUAGUCCACGCCGUAAACGAUGUCGACUUGGAGGUUGUGCCCUUGAGGCGUGGCUUCCGGAGCUAACGCGUUAAGUCGACCGCCUGGGGAGUACGGCCGCAAGGUUAAAACUCAAAUGAAUUGACGGGGGCCCGCACAAGCGGUGGAGCAUGUGGUUUAAUUCGAUGCAACGCGAAGAACCUUACCUGGUCUUGACAUCCACGGAAGUUUUCAGAGAUGAGAAUGUGCCUUCGGGAACCGUGAGACAGGUGCUGCAUGGCUGUCGUCAGCUCGUGUUGUGAAAUGUUGGGUUAAGUCCCGCAACGAGCGC